CAGCAGCCGCCACGGGAAUACAGAGGGUGCGAGCGUUAAUCGGAUUUACUGGGCGUAAAGCGUGCGUAGGCGGCUUCUUAAGUCGGAUGUGAAAUCCCUGAGCUUAACUUAGGAAUUGCAUUCGAUACUGGGAAGCUAGAGUAUGGGAGAGGAUGGUAGAAUUCCAGGUGUAGCGGUGAAAUGCGUAGAGAUCUGGAGGAAUACCGAUGGCGAAGGCAGCCAUCUGGCCUAAUACUGACGCUGAGGUACGAAAGCAUGGGGAGCAAACAGGAUUAGAUACCCCAGUAGUCCCUGUCUCUUAUAA
rnacentral:rRNA from 1 species